AACGAACGCUGGCGGCAGGCCUAACACAUGCAAGUCGAGCGAAGCCUUCGGGCUUAGCGGCGGACGGGUGAGUAACGCGUGGGAACGUGCCCUUUGGUACGGAAUAGCCCCGGGAAACUGGGAGUAAUACCGUAUGUGCCCUUCGGGGGAAAGAUUUAUCGCCAAAGGAUCGGCCCGCGUUGGAUUAGGUAGUUGGUGGGGUAACGGCCUACCAAGCCGACGAUCCAUAGCUGGUUUGAGAGGAUGAUCAGCCACACUGGGACUGAGACACGGCCCAGACUCCUACGGGAGGCAGCAGUGGGGAAUCUUAGACAAUGGGGGAAACCCUGAUCUAGCCAUGCCGCGUGAUCGAUGAAGGCCUUAGGGUUGUAAAGAUCUUCCAGUGGGGAAGAUAAUGACUGUACCCACAGAAGAAGCCCCGGCUAACUCCGUGCCAGCCGCCGCGGUAAAAC
rnacentral:rRNA from 1 species